rnacentral:lncRNA from 1 species
UUGACUGAGAGAGAGGGGUGGUUGUGGUUCUGGAUUUGGGGGUUUUGCAGAGUUGGCGGCGAUUGUAGGGGAUUUGGGGGUUUUGCAGAGUUGGCGGUGAAUUGAAGGUGUAGGGCUCGGUGGUCGGCGGCGUUCGUGAACGGUGGUGGUGGAACGCGGCGGUUGGAGACAAGGCCGCGCUGUGCGGUGCGUUGGAGGUGGA